UAAGAGCGAAUGGUGGAUGCCUUGACUGGUAAAGGCGAUGAAGGACGUACUAGACUGCGAUAAGCUACGGGGAGCUGUCAAGAAGCUUUGAUCCGUAGAUUUCCGAAUGGGGCAACCCAAUGUAUAGAGAUAUACAUUACCUAUAUAGGAGCGAACGAGGGGAAUUGAAACAUCUUAGUACCCUCAGGAAAAGAAAUCAAUAGAGAUUGCGUCAGUAGCGGCGAGCGAAAGCGCAAGAGGGCAAACCCAGUGCUUGCACUGGGGGUUGUAGGACUGCAAUGUGCAAGAGGUGAGUUUAGCAGAACAUUCUGGAAAGUAUAGCCAUAGAGGGUGAUAGUCCCGUAUGCGAAAAACAAACCUUAGCUAGCAGUAUCCUGAGUAGGGCGGGACACGAGAAAUCCUGUCUGAAGCUGGGUCGACCACGAUCCAACCCUAAAUACUAAUACCAGAUCGAUAGUGCACAAGUACCGUGAGGGAAAGGUGAAAAGAACUGAGGUGAUCAGAGUGAAAUAGAACCUGAAACCAUUUGCUUACAAUCAUUCAGAGCCCUAUGUAGCAAUACAGGGUGAUGGACUGCCUUUUGCAUAAUGAGCCUGCGAGUUGUGGUGUCUGGCAAGGUUAAGCAAACGCGAAGCCGUAGCGAAAGCGAGUCUGAAUAGGGCGCUUAGUCAGAUGCUGCAGACCCGAAACGAAGUGAUCUAUCCAUGAGCAAGUUGAAGCUAGUGUAAGAACUAGUGGAGGACUGAACCCAUAGGCGUUGAAAAGCCCCGGGAUGACUUGUGGAUAGGGGUGAAAGGCCAAUCAAACUUCGUGAUAGCUGGUUCUCUCCGAAAUAUAUUUAGGUAUAGCGUUGUGUCGUAAUAUAAGGGGGUAGAGCACUGAAUGGGCUAGGGCAUACACCAAUGUACCAAACCCUAUCAAACUCCGAAUACCUUAUAUGUAAUCACAGCAGUCAGGCGGCGAGUGAUAAAAUCCGUCGUCAAGAGGGAAACAACCCAGACUACCAGCUAAGGUCCCUAAAUCUUACUUAAGUGGAAAACGAUGUGAAGUUACUUAAACAACCAGGAGGUUGGCUUAGAAGCAGCCAUCCUUUAAAGAAAGCGUAAUAGCUCACUGGUCUAGUGAUUUUGCGCGGAAAAUAUAACGGGGCUAAAGUAAGUACCGAAGCUGUAGACUUGCGCACAACUUAGAUUAUUUAAGUUUAGAAUAUGAGAAACUAAGUUAUAUGUUUAGUUAUAUUUUUACUGAUUUUUAUAGAGUAAAGAUAGAAAUAAAACUUAGUAAAAUCAGUAAAAAUAUUCUUAGACUAAAGUUAAGUAGUUUAAGUUGUGUGCAAGUGGUAGGAGAGCGUUCUAUUUGCGUCGAAGGUAUACCGGUAAGGAGUGCUGGAGCGAAUAGAAGUGAGCAUGCAGGCAUGAGUAGCGAUAAUUAAUGUGAGAAUCAUUAACGCCGUAAACCCAAGGUUUCCUACGCGAUGCUCGUCAUCGUAGGGUUAGUCGGGUCCUAAGUCGAGUCCGAAAGGGGUAGACGAUGGCAAAUUGGUUAAUAUUCCAAUACCAACAUUAGUGUGCGAUGGAAGGACGCUUAGGGCUAAGGGGGCUAGCGGAUGGAAGUGCUAGUCUAAGGUCGUAGGAGGUUAUACAGGCAAAUCCGUAUAACAAUACUCCGAGAACUGAAAGGCUUUUUGAAGUCUUCGGAUG
rnacentral:rRNA from 1 species